rnacentral:rRNA from 1 species
GAGUUUGAUCCUGGCUCAGGAUGAACGCUGGCGGCGUGCUUAACACAUGCAAGUCGAACGGGAAUGCCACGCUGAUGCGAUUUCGGUCAAAUCAUGUGGCAUUCGAGUGGCGGACGGGUGAGUAACGCGUGGGUAACCUGCCUUACACAGGGGGAUAACACCUGGAAACAGGUGCUAAUACCGCAUAAGCGCACAGGGCCGCAUGGCCCGGUGUGAAAAACUCCGGUGGUGUAAGAUGGACCCGCGUCUGAUUAGCUUGUUGGCGGGGUAGGGGCCCACCAAGGCGACGAUCAGUAGCCGGCCUGAGAGGGUGGACGGCCACAUUGGGACUGAGACACGGCCCAAACUCCUACGGGAGGCAGCAGUGGGGGAUAUUGGACAAUGGGGGAAACCCUGAUCCAGCGACGCCGCGUGAGUGAAGAAGUAUUUCGGUAUGUAAAGCUCUGUCAGCAGGGAAGAAAGAAAUGACGGUACCUGACCAAGAAGCCCCGGCUAACUACGUGCCAGCAGCCGCG